rnacentral:lncRNA from 1 species
UUUUUUAUUCUACAGGAUGGUUCUGGUCAAGGAAACCAGCCAGCAGUAAGUAAAUAUAACAAUCCAAAUAACUGAAUAUUUAAAGUGAUUAAAGCGGGUUGGUCACCAUCAAAGUUCAAAUACCCUAUAAGAAUAAAGUGUUUGACAUUUUUAGACAAACUCUAUUAACAAAGGCUCAUCAACGUCAUGUUUGAUGUAACCAACAAACAAG